ACGAUUUCACAUAGACAGGAUUUUUUACGGUGCUGUCAAAGUCCUGGCUGUUGGUCCUUGUUGACUCCUUUAUUUUGCUUUUUCGUGCAUGACAGGUGGGCCUCAAAUGUCCCCGGGCCCAGCGUCUCGUGUGUGUCCCGUGUGCGUCCUGGGUAAGAGAAGGAGAGAAGUGGGGGUGCACGGUGAAAACCUAGUCACCAAUCCCUCGCAUCCCUGAACAGCCAAUCCGCCCGCUCCCCUCUUCCCCUGCCCUCCUCUACGCCGCCGCCUCCUCCCCUUCCCUCCUCUGCGCCGCCUCCUCCUCCCCUUCUCCCCUGCUUUCCACCGCCUCCUCCUCCCCUGCUCUCCACUGCACCGCCUCCUCCUCCCCUUCACUUUUCUCUCCUGGGGCGGCGACAACCUACAGGCAAAAGGCGACGGCGAUGUCGCUCAAUUUGAUCUGCAGGAGAGAGAGAAGGAAGGAGAGGAGGGAGAAAGGAAGAGGAAAGAGAAAAGGGAGGUGCGGCGACGGAUGGGUGAGGGUCACCGGAAGGAGCGCCGCCGGCUCGUCGCCUUUCACACCGAGGUGGAGCAAAUAUGCCUCUGUACAGCCCUCAUGCUCGCAGGGGCCUUGCGAGAAGUGGAAGGUAGAGGUCGUACGCCAGCCGGAGCAACAGGAGCAAGGAUCUGGCGUCAUCUGCCUCCCGGUUGCACAACACCACUGCAUCUCCUUCCUGUUGUUGUUGGUGGCAUCCGCCUCUCAGUUGCAUGCUGCCACUGCAUCUCCUUCCUGUUUUAUUUUUAGAUUUUACAUGUUCAGCUAUAGGUUGGCUUGAUCUCUUGUGUCGGGGAGGUGCGAGGUUAGGCAUUUAGGCAAUGGCAGCCACAGUUUCAGUGAAGGAUGUCCAUGCCAUGUGCAAUGAGGGAUAGGCCAUCAGCACAACCGUAUGCGUGUUUUAGUUUUCCUUAUUUUCCUAAUUUUAGUUCUCUACGGUCUUCUAUUUUUAUUUUUAUUGUUCUUAUUUUGUAUAGGUCCUUUGGGUCCUGAUGAAAGUCACUGUCGGUGGCAGGGAAUUCGUCACCGGAUGCGUCCUAUAUGUGGUGAUGAUCUCCUACUUUCUUUUCUUGACUUGUGUUUUGUUCUUCCUUUUUGUCCAACUUAGUAAUCGUGCUCUUGCUUUUCCUUUCGUCUCCGUUGUAGAUGGGUGUGUUCCCAUCUAGUCGUUGGUGAGAAACGAUUUCUUCUAGGCCAGUGGUGUUCCUUUGUGCUAUAGCCAGUGCGCUAUCUCCUAGGUAGUAGUUGUUUUCUUCCACUACCUACAUGUACUCCUUAGGGCUCCUUUGAUUGGAAGGAUUUUCAUAGGAAUGGAGGAGGAUUUGAAUCCUUAGGAUUUUUUUUUCCUAUGUUGGUUGUUUGAUUCAGGGAUACCUAUUUUAUCUUUCAUUUGCCCUUCUGCUCUCCUAUUACCACUAUCUUUCCCGAGUGUGUGCCCUUGCUUUAUGACAUCUUUCACUUAGGGAGCAGUUUACUUCAUUGGCUUAUUCCUUGCGUUUGAGCUGGUCAUUGUUUGUAGCUAGAGUCAGUGGAAUAAUGAAACCAUUUUAGAUUUGAAUUUACUCUGCAUUUAAAGUGAUGUUGAACUCUGGGUGAUGAGAUCGAUCGUUGAGCUUGAGGAGGUCUGAAUUCAUUUUUUUUUCAAUUCUAAUUUAGUCCAGCCUUUUAAACAAUCAUUGUUACUUCACAAUAAAUUUGAUUAUUUUUACUUUUUUGUCCUUGUUGUAGUGUUUAGGUCUUUGAAAAUUCACUACUAUUUGUUUCUGAAGAUAAGAUUUACACAUCUUCGAAGUUGCACUUCCAUGGUACUUCGCUUUUGGUUUUAACCAUAAGAGCAUCAGCAUCAGCCAGGAGCUAGGCCUACCUCUCAUUUAUGUUUUGUUCAUGUAAAUGCCCCUCUUUCACUCUUAUUACAUUUAUCUUGGUGUGAGUCAUGAGAUUCUUUUCAGGUGAUAUCAGUCUAUAUGUUUACCAAAUCAAUUUUCCAAUCUAUUUUUCCCUGCCAAGGCUUCAACUUGCCCAAUACAUUAUAGAAAGCAAUAUUAGAUAGGGAUAAAUGUAAAGGCUUGUGCCGCUGCCUGUGGGUCUAGGUGCCUACGUGUCUAUGUUGCUAUGGAGGCUCAUCGCUUGCUCUAUGUCUAAAACAAUCGCAUGUGUUACUGUUUCUUCCUCCCUGCCCCUUCUCUUACCAGCCAAGCUCAUCAGUCCUUCCCGCCUCACCCUCCUUUCACUCCCUCGCUUCGUCUCUCGCUCGCUCUGUCUGCAACUCGUCUACGGAUAUAUGUGUCUGGAUUUAGUUGAUACUCCUACUGUGUUUCAGACGUGGUGUUCUUUCUUGAAUAAAUUAGCAGAUGCUUGCUUCUGUUAAUUAGAGCUCUUGCAUUAGGAGUACUACGCUGUGCUUGCAUGCAAUUCUCUUGGUUUAAACAGCAGCAGUGCCCAGUCAACAAUUAGUAGAAGUGGUUAUGAGAUGAGGCAAAGGAGAGCAGAGAGGGCCAGCCGUCGUAUAUGCAAUGCAUGGAAGUGGCUAAUGAUUCCAUUCAAGUAAUGAAUGAAUAGUAGUUGCUAAUUCUAUUAUAGUGAUUACAAGCAUAGUUGACCUAUCGUCUGUGUGGUGUGGUUGUUAUACACACUCUUUACAUUUGUGUUUUCCCCUUCUAGCUUUCAUAUGCGUGCUUCCAAUGUACAUACGUCUGGGUUCAUCUCCGCCCUAGAUGCCCGUGGCUUUCCCUCUUUUGGUGCGGUUUAGAAAUAGAGAGUUGAAUGAUAGGAAAAACAGACAGAAGAGUGAAAAUUAUGUGGCUGCAUUGCUGAUGAAUUUUACAAUCUGAAGUUAUUGCUUAUGGAUACCAGUAUUACAUUGGCAUUGGUUUUUAGAUCUGCUUGUUCUUACCUCUUUGCCUAUAUGCUCUAUAGGGGAGCUUUUAUUCUCUGUUUGAACUGUGAUUUCUGAAUUUGGUUUCUUACUAAAGAAAUAACUAAAGCUUUGCUUUCUUCGAAAAAGAAGCUUUGCUGCUGCACACUAUUUUCUUGCCUUUCCUUGAAGAUGAUUAUAUUGAUUAGUUGCGGGCUUUUAUCUCUCUACGUUUUUUGCCUCUGUUUCCAGGUUAUUUCAUAUAAAGCCAUGAACCUAGCAUGAACUCGAAAUAUGAACCAUUGUAUAUGAAGAUGCUAUCUGAGUACGUAUUUGCAUGUUCGUAGAUCUACUACAUAUGCUUUAUUAUGUAUAAAUAUGCCAUGUAAGUAUCUACCUUUAGGUCAUUAUUGCUUGCACAUAUAAUGGUUCCAGUAUCUGGUUUGAUUUUGUUUUUAUGUGUGAACAGAACCUAUCAUGGAGGAGGUUGACAUCACAGACAAGUUCAUGCUUGAGGUCAUUUUCAUUAAGCCGCAGCUCGCACAACCACUAUUUUUACUACUGCAAAGUUGGACAGAGUUUUGCAUAACAAUCAAGUUCCGUACCAGCACGCGGCAUCAGCGACAUGAUGCUGAAGCAAUGGCACUAUCCGGAAAUUCAUCUAAUUCCAUAGAAGUUGCAACGGAUGUUGCAGCGGCUCGAGUUAUCAGAUACAUGGAGGCUGUGUGUGCCAAGGUGCUCAAGGA